rnacentral:rRNA from 1 species
GGUCAAGUGAAGAAGCGCAUACGGUGGAUGCCUUGGCAGUCAGAGGCGAUGAAAGACGUGGUAGCCUGCGAAAAGCUUCGGGGAGUCGGCAAACAGACUGUGAUCCGGAGAUGUCUGAAUGGGGGAACCCAGCCAUCAUAAGAUGGUUAUCUUGUACUGAAUACAUAGGUGCAAGAGGCGAACCAGGGGAACUGAAACAUCUAAGUACCCUGAGGAAAAGAAAUCAACCGAGAUUCCCUUAGUAGUGGCGAGCGAACGGGGACCAGCCCUUAAGUUGUAUUGAGAUUAGCGGAACGUUCUGGAAAGGACGGCCAUAGUGGGUGAUAGCCCUGUACGCGAAAAUCCCUUUGCAAUGAAAUCGAGUAGGACGGGGCACGAGAAACCUUGUCUGAAUAUGGGGGGACCAUCCUCCAAGGCUAAAUACUACUGACUGACCGAUAGUGAACCAGUACCGUGAGGGAAAGGCGAAAAGAACCGCGGAGAGCGGAGUGAAAUAGAUCCUGAAACCGUAUGCGUACAAGCAGUGGGAGCCCACUUUGUUGGGUGACUGCGUACCUUUUGUAUAAUGGGUCAGCGACUUAUUUUCAGUGGCGAGCUUAACCGAAUAGGGGAGGCGUAGCGAAAGCGAGUCUUAAUAGGGCGUCUAGUCGCUGGGAAUAGACCCGAAACCGGGCGAUCUAUCCAUGGGCAGGUUGAAGGUUGGGUAACACUAACUGGAGGACCGAACCGACUACCGUUGAAAAGUUAGCGGAUGACCUGUGGAUCGGAGUGAAAGGCUAAUCAAGCUCGGAGAUAGCUGGUUCUCCUCGAAAGCUAUUUAGGUAGCGCCUCAUGUAUCACUGUAGGGGGUAGAGCACUGUUUCGGCUAGGGGGUCAUCCCGACUUACCAAACCGAUGCAAACUCCGAAUACCUACAAGUGCCGAGCAUGGGAGACACACGGCGGGUGCUAACGUCCGUCGUGAAAAGGGAAACAACCCAGACCGUCAGCUAAGGUCCCAAAGUCAUGGUUAAGUGGGAAACGAUGUGGGAAGGCUUAGACAGCUAGGAGGUUGGCUUAGAAGCAGCCACCCUUUAAAGAAAGCGUAAUAGCUCACUAGUCGAGUCGGCCUGCGCGGAAGAUGUAACGGGGCUCAAACCAUGCACCGAAGCUACGGGUAUCAUCUUAGGAUGAUGCGGUAGAGGAGCGUUCUGUAAGCCUGUGAAGGUGAGUUGAGAAGCUUGCUGGAGGUAUCAGAAGUGCGAAUGCUGACAUGAGUAACGACAAUGGGUGUGAAAAACACCCACGCCGAAAGACCAAGGUUUCCUGCGCAACGUUAAUCGACGCAGGGUUAGUCGGUCCCUAAGGCGAGGCUGAAAAGCGUAGUCGAUGGAAAACAGGUUAAUAUUCCUGUACUUCUGGUUAUUGCGAUGGAGGGACGGAGAAGGCUAGGCCAGCCUGGCGUUGGUAGUCCAGGUUUAAGGUGGUAGGCUGAGAUCUUAGGUAAAUCCGGGAUCUUAAGGCCGAGAGCUGAUGACGAGUGUUCUUUUAGAACAUGAAGUGGUUGAUGCCAUGCUUCCAAGAAAAGCUUCUAAGCUUCAGGUAACCAGGAACCGUACCCCAAACCGACACAGGUGGUUGGGUAGAGAAUACCAAGGCGCUUGAGAGAACUCGGGUGAAGGAACUAGGCAAAAUGGCACCGUAACUUCGGGAGAAGGUGCGCCGGUGGAGGUGAAGCAUUUACUGCGUAAGCCCCUGCCGGUCGAAGAUACCAGGCCGCUGCGACUGUUUAUUAAAAACACAGCACUCUGCAAACACGAAAGUGGACGUAUAGGGUGUGACGCCUGCCCGGUGCCGGAAGGUUAAUUGAUGGGGUUAGCGCAAGCGAAGCUCUUGAUCGAAGCCCCGGUAAACGGCGGCCGUAACUAUAACGGUCCUAAGGUAGCGAAAUUCCUUGUCGGGUAAGUUCCGACCUGCACGAAUGGCGUAACGAUGGCGGCGCUGUCUCCACCCGAGACUCAGUGAAAUUGAAAUCGCUGUGAAGAUGCAGUGUAUCCGCGGCUAGACGGAAAGACCCCGUGAACCUUUACUAUAGCUUUGCACUGGACUUUGAAUUUGCUUGUGUAGGAUAGGUGGGAGGCUUUGAAGCGUGGACGCCAGUCUGCGUGGAGCCAACCUUGAAAUACCACCCUGGCAACUUUGAGGUUCUAACUCAGGUCCGUUAUCCGGAUCGAGGACAGUGUAUGGUGGGUAGUUUGACUGGGGCGGUCUCCUCCUAAAGAGUAACGGAGGAGUACGAAGGUGCGCUCAGACCGGUCGGAAAUCGGUCGUAGAGUAUAAAGGCAAAAGCGCGCUUGACUGCGAGACAGACACGUCGAGCAGGUACGAAAGUAGGUCUUAGUGAUCCGGUGGUUCUGUAUGGAAGGGCCAUCGCUCAACGGAUAAAAGGUACUCCGGGGAUAACAGGCUGAUACCGCCCAAGAGUUCAUAUCGACGGCGGUGUUUGGCACCUCGAUGUCGGCUCAUCACAUCCUGGGGCUGAAGCCGGUCCCAAGGGUAUGGCUGUUCGCCAUUUAAAGUGGUACGCGAGCUGGGUUUAGAACGUCGUGAGACAGUUCGGUCCCUAUCUGCCGUGGACGUUUGAGAUUUGAGAGGGGCUGCUCCUAGUACGAGAGGACCGGAGUGGACGAACCUCUGGUGUUCCGGUUGUCACGCCAGUGGCAUUGCCGGGUAGCUAUGUUCGGAAAAGAUAACCGCUGAAAGCAUCUAAGCGGGAAACUUGCCUCAAGAUGAGAUCUCACUGGAACCUUGAGUUCCCUAAAGGGCCGUCGAAGACUACGACGUUGAUAGGUUGGGUGUGUAAGCGCUGUGAGGCGUUGAGCUAACCAAUACUAAUUGCCCGUGAGGCUUGACCAU